rnacentral:rRNA from 1 species
GACGAACGCUGGCGGCGUGCUUAACACAUGCAAGUCGAACGGAAAGGCCCUGCUUUUGUGGGGUGCUCGAGUGGCGAACGGGUGAGUAACACGUGAGUAACCUGCCCUUGACUUUGGGAUAACUUCAGGAAACUGGGGCUAAUACCAGAUAGGAGCUCCUGCUGCAUGGUGGGGGUUGGAAAGUUUCGGCGGUUGGGGAUGGACUCGCGGCUUAUCAGCUUGUUGGUGGGGUAGUGGCUUACCAAGGCUUUGACGGGUAGCCGGCCUGAGAGGGUGACCGGCCACAUUGGGACUGAGAUACGGCCCAGACUCCUACGGGAGGCAGCAGUGGGGAAUAUUGCACAAUGGGCGGAAGCCUGAUGCAGCAACGCCGCGUGCGGGAUGACGGCCUUCGGGUUGUAAACCGCUUUCGCCUGUGACGAAGCGUGAGUGACGGUAAUGGGUAAAGAAGCACCGGCUAACUACGU